CCCUACUCUCUUACUCAACAGCUGAUCAGCUGAUGUUCUGUCAACGGAAUAUUGCAUGUUUAUGCGCGAUUGGAAUUUGAUAUCAGUGACAAACGAAAAGCCUCGUAACUGAUAUGCUGUAACUUGUGACACAUGUAACGCAUAUUUGACAUCAACCUCGUAAUUUGUUACAAGAUACGACACAAGUCGCAUGCACUCGUCAUAAAUUAGAAUACAGAUAAGAGAAGCAGCAAGCAAGGAGAAAAAUGAUUUCUAUAAAAAUUAGAACAACUUUGUUCAAUCCAUGUUCCAAACAGAAGCGAUUACGAUUGAGGAGAUUAAUCACAAAUGAAAGCAAAACGAAAUUUGAAUCAUAGUUGGCGGUGAUCAUACUGAAGCAUCUGCUGCUGCUAUCAAAAUGGGUGCGAAAACGUUAGUUACUAAGAAAAAAAAUAUUAUUGAAGAAAUGUCAUGCAAAUUUCGUCUUUCGAUGGAAUUAGAAGAGGCCAUUUGAUGAGAGAGAUAGAUGCUUUAGGCGGGACAUGUUGUCAAAUAUCUGAUUUUUCAGAGAUAGACUACAAAAUUUUGAAUAAGUGCAAAAGACCGACAAAGUGGGAUCUCAGAAAUCAAGUCCAUAAAACAUUAUACAAGAAACAUCUUUAGGCGAAAUUUUUCACUCUACUUGGUUUACGCAGUUUAUGAAUCCUUCAUGGAAGAUUUAACUUAGCUAACAAUCUUCUGUCUUGCUGCAGAGAAAUUUUCAGAAAUGAAACAAAAAUAUUUGGUGACGCAGUAAUUAUAACAAAAACUUUCUUAAGAGACUAAAUAAAUAUUGUAUUGAAAAGAGAUCUGCAGAUAGAUUAAAUGAUGAACCUAUUGGUUUGGCAAUUACACUUGACAGGCUUGAAUUUCAGAUAGGAAGAUUGAAAACUGGUUACACAUAUUAUUAGGGACACCGCCAAGAGAGAGAGAUAGCAUUGACUUAACGAGUAUAUAGAAUAUCUACCGGAUGACUCUCUGAAGCCAUUUUCAUUUAUAAGUGAUAAUGUGUGAGUACCUGAGAAAUAAAUACCUGACAUAUACGAAUGAAGAUGUCGCAAAAAUUAUGAAGGACAAUAGACAUUAAUUUACACGUUAUGGAGAAGAUAUUGAGUCCACGAUGUCCGAGCAUAAGGAGUAAGAUUCUGCGAUUCCAAAUGACAAGACAUCAAAUGUGAUUUGAGCCGGAAAGUUCGACAAGACGAAAAAAACUCUUAGCAAAAUACAGAAAGCUAUACGAAUACUUAAGAACGAAGUGCGAUUAAGCCUCAAGUGGCGACAAUUAUUAAAGAUGAAGAGCACUAAAACUAAUAAAAAUACGGCCUUUGAAAUGUUUUCAAUAAUGAGGAGAAAAUUAUAUUUGAAUAAUUAGCGAAGUUUUUAUUGAAUUUGCUUGAUCACUUGGAUGGAGAUCCUACUCUAGCGUAAAGAAUAGAGAUAGAAGCAAAAUAUGCUCAUAUAAUUGUGGAUCAACAGAAUCAAGUAAAAGACAUUAAGCGCAACGAGCAAAUGAUUACCUGAUGAUAUUAAUUAUAAGUAAAAAAUUUGAUGCGUCUCAUUUAUUUUAUUUAUUAAAAAUAUUUAUUGAAUCACUGUUUGAUAAGAUAGAUAAAAAUAGUCCUGAAUUAAACUCAUCCACUAGGAAAAAACUCAUAAAGUAUCUCGAAGUACGAUAAGUUUUUUACUGCUAUUCUCUUUCGUCUUUGGACUUCUUUUAGUCGCUAUAAUAUUGUUAUUAAAAAAAUACAAUUACUUUUCAACAAUCACUUUACAACUACUUUUAUGUAAUUACUUAUGUUUU
rnacentral:misc_RNA from 1 species